UAAAUAUAAAUCCAAACCAAAGACCGUAGGGGGAUAUAUAGUCCUUAAAUAACCUACCGAGGUUGGAAGUUAGAUAUACUAACCUCAAAACUCAACCCCCUGUCUUUGCGAUAGGGGUAUAUUUUUA
rnacentral:sRNA from 1 species